rnacentral:rRNA from 1 species
AAUGAACGCUGGCGGCAGGCCUAACACAUGCAAGUCGAACGGAUCCUUCGGGAUUAGUGGCGGACGGGUGAGUAACGCGUGGGAACGUGCCCUUUGGUUCGGAAUAGCCUCGGGAAACUGGGAGUAAUACCGGAUAAGCCCUUCGGGGGAAAGAUUUAUCGCCAAAGGAUCGGCCCGCGUGGGAUUAGGUAGUUGGUGGGGUAAUGGCCUACCAAGCCGACGAUCCAUAGCUGGUUUGAGAGGAUGAUCAGCCACACUGGGACUGAGAAACGGCCCAGACUCCUACGGGAGGCAGCAGUGGGGAAUCUUAGACAAUGGGGGAAACCCUGAUCUAGCCAUGCCGCGUGAUCGAUGAAGGCCUUAGGGUUGUAAAGAUCUUUCAGUUGGGAAGAUAAUGACGGUACCAACAGAAGAAGCCCCGGCUAACUCCGUGCCAGCCGCCGCCGUAA